rnacentral:rRNA from 1 species
CCUACGGGCGGCAGCAGUGAGGAAUAUUGGUCAAUGGGCGAGAGCCUGAACCAGCCAAGUCGCGUGAGGGAAGACGGUCCUAUGGAUUGUAAACCUCUUUUGCCGGGGAGCAAAAAGCGGGACGUGUACCGGACCGAGCGUACCCGGAGAAAAAGCAUCGGCUAACUCCGUGCCAGCAGCCGCGGUAAUACGGAGGAUGCGAGCGUUAUCCGGAUUUAUUGGGUUUAAAGGGUGCGCAGGUGGCGUGUUAAGUCAGCGGUAAAAUUUCGGGGCUCAACCCCGCCGAGCCGUUGAAACUGGCUGGGUAGAGUGGGCGAGAAGUAUGCGGAAUGCGUGGUGUAGCGGUGAAAUGCAUAGAUAUCACGCAGAACUCCGAUUGCGAAGGCAGCAUACCGGCGCCCAACUGACGCUGAGGCACGAAAGCGUGGGUAUCGAACAGGAUUAGAUACCCUUGUAGUC